rnacentral:rRNA from 1 species
AGAGCGAACGUUAGCGGCGGGCCUAACACAUGCAAGUCGAACGAGAAUGUAGGCUUCGGCCUACUAGUAAAGUGGCGGACGGGUGCGUAACACGUGGGUAAUCUACCUUUCGGCGGGGGAUAACGAUUCGAAAGGAUCGCUAAUACCGCGUACGACGACGAGGACUCCGGUCCAUGUUGGGAAAGACGGCCUCUUCAUGAAAGCUGUCACCGAAAGAUGAACUCGCGGCCCAUCAGCUAGUUGGUGAGGUAACGGCUCACCAAGGCAUAGACGGGUAGCUGGUCUGAGAGGAUGAUCAGCCACACUGGGACUGCGACACGGCCCAGACUCCUACGGGAGGCAGCAGUGGGGAAUAGUUGGGCAAGUGGGCGCAAGCCUGACCCAGCCACGCCGCGUGAGUGAUGAAGGCCGUUCGGUCGUAAAGCUCGUGUGGGAGGAACGAAAAAGGACGGAGCUAAGUACGUACCCGGACUUGACGGUACCUCGUAGCAAGCCACCGGCUAACCCGUGUACGCC